rnacentral:rRNA from 1 species
UACGUAGGGCGCAAGCGUUAUCCGGAAUUAUUGGGCGUAAAGAGCUCGUAGGCGGUUUGUCGCGUCUGCCGUGAAAGUCCGGGGCUCAACUCCGGAUCUGCGGUGGGUACGGGCAGACUAGAGUGAUGUAGGGGAGACUGGAAUUCCUGGUGUAGCGGUGAAAUGCGUAGAUAUCAUUUGGAACGCCAACGGAGAAAUCAGCUCGCUGGGGGUGUGCUGACGCUGAGACACGAAAGCCAGGGGAGCGAACGGG